rnacentral:rRNA from 1 species
UACAGAGGUGGCAAGCGUUGUUCGGAAUUACUGGGCGUAAAGGGCGCGUAGGCGGCCUUCUAAGUCUUGUGUGAAAUCCCUCGGCUCAACUGAGGAACUGCACGGGAUACUGGAUGGCUUGAGUUCGGGAGAGGGAAGCGGAAUUCCGGGUGUAGCGGUGAAAUGCGUAGAUAUCGGGAGGAACACCAGUGGCGAAGGCGACUUCCUGGCCUGUUCUUGACGCUGAGGCGCGAAAGCUAGGGUAGCAAACGGG